CUCAUGUUGUAGUUUGAACAAGAUGAGGAUUGACAUUAAUUUCUUGGAUUAAGAUCAUCAAGGUUGUUGAAUAGCGACAUGGUUCUUCAUCUCUUACAAGGACAGAUCUGUUAUCGAUGCUUUCAACUUGAAAUUAAUUUCCUCCUUAUAAAGUGUUUGUAUAUACUGUUUCAUUCCAGAAUACUUUCUUUGAUUCUUAUAUUAAACUUUACACAUAUAGACAGGGCAUUUGACACAUAUGCGAAAGUGAUAGUGAAUGCAGGUGGACCUUUUUGUGACUCUGUUGGAAACCUAGUUGAUAGAGAUGCAGAACCAAUGAUCUGUCCUAGCAGUGGGGUCCACAUAGUCCACCCCGACUACUAUUCUCCAGAAGGAAUGGGUUUGAUUGUCCCCAAAAAUAUUGAGAUUAUGUUUGAUUAUGGUCUAGAGGAUCACAUUUGAAUCUAAUAUGGCUUCAUGGUGUUAAAUGAAGUUGAUUUGAGGAAUGUAUUUUGAUUGGAGCAUUGUUGUUGAUGAAAAAAUGAUGAUAUUGAUUUGUGCUAUUAAAGCUCCAAGAUUUGGUGAGAACAGAAUGGUUGGUGGUAUUGUAUGUAAUUAACCAAGUCUAGUCUUUGGUUAUCUUAAUCUGUUCUCUAAUGGUGUUGUAUGUUAUUCUUACUUCUUGAUCUUCUUUCUUAAC